rnacentral:misc_RNA from 1 species
GGACUACAAGGGUUUCUAAUCCCUUUCGCUCCCCUGGCUUUCGUCCAUGAGCGUCAGUUAUGGCCCAGCAGAGCGCCUUCGCCACUGGUGUUCUUCCCGAUAUCUACGCAUUUCACCGCUACACCGGGAAUUCCCUCUGCCCCUACCACACUCUAGUCCAGAAGUUUCCACUGCCAUGAUGGAGUUAAGCUCCACUUUUUAACAGCA